ACGUACACUCCUGCGGGAGGCAGCAGUGGGGAAUAUUGGACAAUGGGCGCAAGCCUGAUCCAGCCAUGCCGCGUGAGUGAUGAAGGCCCUAGGGUUGUAAAGCUCUUUCACCGGUGAAGAUAAUGACGGUAACCGGAGAAGAAGCCCCGGCUAACUUCGUGCCAGCAGCCGCGGUAAUACGAAGGGGGCUAGCGUUGUUCGGAUUUACUGGGCGUAAAGCGCACGUAGGCGGACUAUUAAGUCAGGGGUGAAAUCCCGGGGCUCAACCCCGGAACUGCCUUUGAUACUGGUAGUCUUGAGUUCGAGAGAGGUGAGUGGAAUUCCGAGUGUAGAGGUUAAAUUCGUAGAUAUUCGGAGGAACACCAGUGGCGAAGGCGGCUCACUGGCUCGAUACUGACGCUGAGGUGCGAAGGCGUGGGGAGCAAACAGGAUUAGAAACCCGGGUAGUCCCAUG
rnacentral:rRNA from 1 species